UCCAAUUCCAGCAUGCUACGACUACCAGCAUCAAAGCUCUCGGCCAUUCACAAGGAACUGCGCAGAGUCAUACGAUGCCACGCCAUUCCACUCCGCAAUCUUGCCCGGAUAGUAGGCCUCCUAUCCACGUCCAUAGAGGCACUCUUCCUGGGGUCACUCCACUACAGGGUGAUGCAACGCCUGAAGACCUCCUUCCUUUGCCGAACCCCACCUGCGACUAACAGGUCCCAGUAACAGAGGAAUUCAAAGAGGAACUCAGAUGGUGGCUGGACAGCAUGGAGGUGUGGAAUGGACGGGCCAUCUUCUG